rnacentral:lncRNA from 1 species
CUGAAGAAUGAGCAAAGCUGUGUGCAGAUCAGCUGGGAUUCCGUGAGCCUCCUAAACAGCUAUAGUGCAUCCUUCCAGUGCACACUACAGCUCUUGUUUUUCUCAGUUUUAAAUCCUCCACCAUUUCUGGAUCUACAACAUGUCCAUAGGAGCGACUGCCCAGUCUACCCUCAGCUGACCUCCAGUGUGACUUUGCCCACAUGCAGCUCAAUGUCAUCAUCUCCUUAUAUCCUUCUUGUAUAUUGUAAAGAAUGCUGAUGAAGGACUUUGACGUUUUCAAUGCAGAAAGGCUCCCUUCACCACGCCUGCUGGAAAGGCAACUCUUAUGACACCUUGACUGCUUUCUACUAUUCAGUUUCAAGAUUAGUAAUGGAUUCUCACAUAAAUUCCAGUAGAUAAAAUAACACAGGAUCCCUCCUGACUCAGGAUUCGGUUGCUGCAUGCUCUGUAGAGUCCAUGUGAGCAUUGGCCAGGUGAAAGUCCCUGAUGGGAUUUAUCUCCUUUCUUAGAGAUGGCUUAUUCUCCAUGACUGACUCAUCAUCUUUUGGUGUGGGAUACAGAGCUCAUGUAUUUGGACCGAGGGGAACAUAGGAAAUGUCAGAAAUAUUGGGGACUACCAAGCUAUCAAGUUUUAUGAGUAAGAAUAAAAUGAUAGCCAGUGAUGGAUCCGAUAACACAGCCACUGCACAGAAAUCAGUUAAUAAAUCAACGAGACAGAAAUCUGUAGGAAACCCUGAACCAUCCUCUUUCAUGAGCAGACUUCAAGCAAAUGCUGUGGGCAUGAAUGCAAAGCAGUCGGAAAUACCUCACCCUGCCAUGGCACUGUAAGUUGCUGACUACUGCUACACUAAUAGGAC